rnacentral:rRNA from 1 species
GAAACUGCCUGAUGGAGGGGGAUAACUACUGGAAACGGUAGCUAAUACCGCAUAACGUCGCAAGACCAAAGUGGGGGACCUUCGGGCCUCAUGCCAUCAGAUGUGCCCAGAUGGGAUUAGCUAGUAGGUGGGGUAACGGCUCACCUAGGCGACGAUCCCUAGCUGGUCUGAGAGGAUGACCAGCCACACUGGAACUGAGACACGGUCCAGACUCCUACGGGAGGCAGCAGUGGGGAAUAUUGCACAAUGGGCGCAAGCCUGAUGCAGCCAUGCCGCGUGUGUGAAGAAGGCCUUCGGGUUGUAAAGCACUUUCAGCGGGGAGGAAGGCGGUGAGGUUAAUAACCUUGUCGAUUGACGUUACCCGCAGAAGAAGCACCGGCUAACUCCGUGCCAGCAGCCGCGG